rnacentral:rRNA from 1 species
GGGGAAUAUUGGACAAUGGGCGCAAGCCUGAUCCAGCCAUGCCACGUGAGUGAUGAAGGCCCUAGGGUUGUAAAGCUCUUUCAGUGGGGAAGAUAAUGACGGUACCCACAGAAGAAGCCCCGGCUAACUUCGUGCCAGCAGCCGCGGUAAUACGAAGGGGGCUAGCGUUGUUCGGAAUUACUGGGCGUAAAGCGCACGUAGGCGGAUUUUUAAGUCAGGGGUGAAAUCCCGGGGCUCAACCCCGGAACAGCCUUUGAUACUGGAGAUCUUGAGUCCGAGAGAGGUGAGUGGAAUUCCGAGUGUAGAGGUGAAAUUCGUAGAUAUUCGGAGGAACACCAGUGGCGAAGGCGGCUCACUGGCUCGGUACUGACGCUGAGGUGCGAAAGCGUGGGGAGCAAAC